rnacentral:lncRNA from 1 species
GGGAGGCCCUGGCCCUCCACUCCUGACCAUCUUCUGCACGGUGAUCCUGAAGCAGGGGCAUUAGUCAGGGGUUAGAGGUGUGUCUACAGGCCGGGCUCUCCUCUGUGCCAGGGAGGUGGGCCCUGCUCGUGGCAGACCCGGCAACCCCACCCUGCAAACCCUGUCCAGGGGAGCCUAGGGAGAGAGGUGCCAGGUGCCCGCGUCCGCAGCAGGAGACGUGUGGAUUACAGAAAAGGAGGCUGAGUCAGAGGACAAACUGCCUCCCCCGGAAGGGGGGGCCGAGGUGCUGGGGAGGAACCAGGCCAGGCCGGCUGGCCAUGGAGGACGGGGUCCAGCUGGCAGGCUUCAGCCUAAGCCCACGGGGAGGCAGUGCGCUGGCCCCACCGGCAGAGCCCACACAGAGGCAGGGAGGACAGGGGCCAGGCCCUGAAAGGUGACAGGCAGCCGGACGCCUGCCACCUGGCCUGGGGGUGGUGGCACCCAGAGCUUGACGUGGGCUGGCUCCGGGGACAUUCCCACCCAUGCAGCCACGGAGUCAGGCCACUCUCGGGAAUGCCCUUCCCCGCUGGAUGGACUCCUCGGGGCUGCAGAAGCCAAGUGUGGCUCCUCUGCACUGGCCAGUCCCUCGCCCAGGGACAGCCACCUUGGGGAGAAAGACUUGGAAGAGAAGGUGCAUGUGCACAGAGCGCUUAGGCUUUUCUCGCCUCGUUCCCUAACGGCACAGUGUGACAGCUGCACACGGGGCACUCACACCGCGCAGGUGUCAUGGGUGACCUGCAGGUGAUUGAUUUAUGGUGUCCGG